CGUUUGGGAGACGAAACGGGGACUGGCCCUCACCUCACUCCAGCUGCACGUCCAGUUUACGCGCUUCGACAUCAGCCUCGAGUGUUCGCGGAUUGUGGUGCAGCUGGUGGACAGUUCCUGUUUACCGAUCAUCUGCUUGCACAACUCACCGGCCAGCUACAUGAAGUUGCCGACCUACUCGGCACCGGCACGCGAUGUCGAGGAUCUGCGGCCGGCCGGUCCGAAGCGCCCGGCACGUCGUCUGCUCAAGAAGGAAGUCUCGCUCGACACGUACACCUGGCAGAAGAAGUACGCCCAUCUGACGUCCUCGGUCAUGAUGGCGCAGGUGGAUGAACGGUUGAAGCGCCGCUUCUCGGUGUCCGCCAGCAUGGAAGAGAUCUCGAAGUUGGCCGAAGCGAAGACCGUGGAAUCGCAGGCAAAUCUCGGCCCGGAACAGGCCGCCCUUGCUCAAUCGCAGCACUUUGACCAGCUGGAAGCACUCUGGAAUAAGCGAUCUCCACCGAGACGUCGAUUGAAUGCGUCACUGUCACGUCAAUCGUCGCUAGUGGAGGACCGGAUCGACUCGUCGGAUGAGGACGAGUUCCAGGAGGAACGCUCAGUGCCUAUAUAGUGAUGCUAAAUUUUUAACCUAUUGAUCUUUCUAUCGUAGCUAGCAGUUGAUACCUUCUGUAGAUUUGCAAUUCGCCUACCUAUUUCGCCCGUCUCUCCUUCUCUCUCUCUCUCUCUCUCUCUCUCUCUCACACACACACACUCUCUCCUUUCUCCACGAGUGAUUUCUCUAUUUGCCCUAGUGCGUGCGUAGUAUGUUCUUCCUGCUUAGUUUACUCGAGUUUUGAAGCAUGAGUAGCACUAGGUACCACUUUCGACCACCAGAAGGCGUACCCGUGCCAGGUGCCAGCUUUCUUCACCUACAGCUUUUCGGUGCUUUACAUGUGCUAGCCGAUUAGUUCACACCGCCGGAUAGAGCGAGACGGUACCAUCGGAAUGGUGCAAGCUAAGUAGUGGCGUUGCUACGCGUACUAAGGAAAGCUCGCAGGACUUACACGCUUUCAGGCUGCGUACUUUUGGGUAUACAAAGCUCGCUGCACCAGAAAAGCUCCAUCGUAGCACCGCGUUCCGCAUCUCGUCUGUCUCGGCCAAAGGUGCCGCUGCUUGCGUGAAACGAAAUGUUUUAAAUAACGAUGAUCCCAUGAAAUAUCCAACGAUAAAACAUGAUCCGUUAAUUCACCUAGGUCAGUUAUGUGAUGCCGUUUAAAUGGUUAAACUAAUUCUACAAUAUAACUGCACCAACCCAGGCAGUGCAGAGGAUGUCCUUCCGUGUUAAAAUGACUCAAUAGGGAGGUUCACCGACAAAUUCCAGUGUCCAGUAUAGUCCCAGUGCAAGGAGCACGGCCACACAGUAGGCAUACUUUGUUCUUUUCCCAGUUUACAACCAUCGUAUGCGCAUUUUUAUAGUAUGCUCGGUCAAUCAAGCAUGCGCUGCAAUUAUUGAAGAAGCGUUUCCCGACCUAACGCCUAGGUGUCUACCGAUUUUAUCUAGAUCUUUCAAGCCAUGCGAAACGGGGUGGACACUGAGGACAGUUAAGUAAGAUCUCGCAGAUCAUCGUAAGUCUAAAUCAGCUGUGGUGUCUAAAGCAAAACAAUAUGCAUUACAACCAGCCGUGUCACCUGUGGUCAUCCCCUUUUUCGCAGCAAGAGCAAACAACCACUCGUGGGUAUUACUGUUACGGGCAUCUAAAUAAAUUAUGGAUAACACAUAUACAUAUAUACACGUAAAGAUACAUAAACGCAUAUAUUUUGUGUCACUUUCGCACUGAUCUGACUUUACCUUUUAAGAGAGACACUUUGGAGAGCGAAGAAGGGCGACGCACGUGUCUCGUAGUGAACUGAAAACCCUUUUUCUAGCACCGACAAUCAAGAUUGUUUGUUAACCGAUUUCUACAAUCAAUGCAUCUUUCUGCGGUAGAAGAUAAAGAACAUACACAGGAAAAGAAAGGAAGAAAACAUAAAUUACAACCGACCCAACGUUUCCAUGCUGCAAAACUGUCGUAAUGCAAGCGCCAUUGUUUCAGUCCCCUUCCCAAAAUGUUAUACCUUUACCGAUAAGCGUAUAUUUACUGCUAGUUAAUGAAGUGUUUUAGAAACUGUUAAGCAAAUAAGCAAGCAAGCAAACAAGCAAGUAUGGCAAUCGAAUGGCUAGUCGGUCCCGAUAACGUGAUUCACACGACUCAACUUAAAGCUAGUAAGUAGGAAGCUGUAGAAGGGAACUCACUCUGUUAGUUUGACCGUUUGACUACUCUAGCAAACUAGUGACAAGCUACUCUAAAGGCAACAGCUCUGCGGUAGACUCAUGGAAUUGUUCGUUAGCAUAAUUAGUGUGUGAUAGUAGCAGCAGCAGCAGUAGCAGUAGCAGCAGCAGUAGCAGUAGCAGCAGCAGUGUGUGUAUUUGCCCGAUAGAGGCGAUUUGGUUCGAAAGUUUACUCAAAUGACGAUCGCAAAUUUAACAGGCGGAGGGACGACUAACAAGCACCGAUUUCGACGAGGGCGUGAUUACUGUUGAUUUUGCAACAAAGAAUUAACGGCAUAAUAGCAUUUUCCGUUUAUUUGCUUUCAAUCAAGAAAGUGAAAGGGCGAAAUUCCGUAGUGGCAAUAAUGAAAUGAGCAGCACCUAUCACGUAGGUCAGGGUAUGUGUGUAUGUGUGUGCAAUGAAUCGUUUUUAAUUGGAUUGUGUAGUAGAACAGAAAGCUAAGCUAACGGUAAAUUAAACAAAAAACGCAGCAAAAAUAAACUUUAAUAAAGUGUAAACCCGUAGUGAUGGUUGUCAAUCAUAAAACAGCGAGCUACCACAGAAUAAACUAACCUGAAAUGGUAACGAACAUGCA